rnacentral:rRNA from 1 species
UACGUAGGGGGCAAGCGUUGUCCGGAUUCAUUGGGCGUAAAGAGCGUGUAGGCGGCCAGGUAGGUCGGUUGUGAAAACUGGAGGCUCAACCUUCAGAGGUCGACCGAAACCAUCUGGCUAGAGUCCGGGAGAGGAGAGUGGAAUUCCUGGUGUAGCGGUGAAAUGCGCAGAUAUCAGGAAGAACACCCGUGGCGAAAGCGGCUCUCUGGAACGGUACUGACGCUGAGGCACGAAGGUCAGGGGGAGCAAACGGG